AACGCACGCUGGCGGCAGGCUUAACACAUGCAAGUCGAGCGCCCCGCAAGGGGAGCGGCAGACGGGUGAGUAACGCGUGGGAAUCUACCCAUCUCUACGGAAUAACGCAUGGAAACGUGUGCUCAUACCGUAUACGUCCUUCGGGAGAAAGAUUUAUCGGAGAUGGAUGAGCCCGCGUUGGAUUAGCUAGUCGGCGGGGUAAAGGCCUACCAAGGCGACGAUCCAUAGCUGGUCUGAGAGGAUGAUCAGCCACACUGGGACUGAGACACGGCCCAGACUCCUACGGGAGGCAGCAGUGGGGAAUAUUGGACAAUGGGCGCAAGCCUGAUCCAGCCAUGCCGCGUGAGUGAUGAAGGCCCUAGGGUUGUAAAGCUCUUUCACCGGUGAAGAUAAUGACGGUAACCGGAGAAGAAGCCCCGGCUAACUUCGUGCCAGCAGCCGCCGUAACAC
rnacentral:rRNA from 1 species